rnacentral:rRNA from 1 species
UACGUAGGGGGGCUAGCGUUGUCCGGAUUUAUUGGGCGUAAAGAGCGUGUAGGCGGCCAGGUAGGUCUGCUGUGAAAACUCGAGGCUCAACCUCGAGACGUCGGCGGAAACCAUCUGGCUAGAGUCCGGAAGAGGAGAGUGGAAUUCCUGGUGUAGCGGUGAAAUGCGCAGAUAUCAGGAAGAACACCCGUGGCGAAGGCGGCUCUCUGGGACGGUACUGACGCUGAGACGCGAAAGCG